UUCUAGUUCCAUUGCCUUUUUAUAUAAAUGUAGAGCGAGCUUGUCUAUAUCUACAAAAAAAAAAGUCAUACUGGGAUUUUUAUUAGAAUGGCAUUAAGUCUAUAGAUCAAUUCAGGAAGAAAUGGCAUCUUUACAAUGUUGAGUCUUCUACUCCAUGAAAAUGGUAUAUCUAUUUAGGUUUUCUUUUAUUUCCUUAAUUGGUGUUUUGUGGUUUUUAGCAUACAGAUACUAUAUAUGUUUUGCUAGAUUUAUGCCUAAUAUUUUUUGGGAGGGAGUAACUAUUGUAAUUUUUUUAAUUUUCAGUUUCCAAUUUCUCUUUAUUAGUGUAUAGAAAUACAGUUGCUUUUUGCACAUUGACCUUGUAUCCUAUAAUCUAAUAAAGUCACUUUAGUGAUAAGGUUUUUGUGUACAUUCCUUAAGUUUUGUUUUUACAUGUUCGCUUUGUUUUUUAUCAUGGACACUCAUAUUAUCUGCUAAUAGGAAUAGUUUAAUUCCUUUCUUUCAAUAUUAUACAUAUUUCUUUUUCUUGCCCUAUUGCCCUGUUUAGGAUUUCCGAUAUGAUCUUAAAUGGCAUGGUGAAAGUGACACCCUCGCUUUGAUGGCAGUCUCAGGAGAAAGCAUUCAGUCUUUCACUAUUAAAUCCUCCAGAUGCCCAGGCCAACUCAGCCAGACAGGGAGGAUCAGGGGGUACCCAGACUCCCCCAAGAAGCUGACCCCAGGCAGCAAAUCAUCCCACCCCCAGCCCAGAGCUUUACCAGCGACACCUGCCCAGGGGGUGCACCGCCCCUGAGCCCCAGCCCUUCUGGGGGGAACCUGGUGAGUCCCCCACCUGGACACCCAGAGAAGGGCAGGUUCCAUGAGCAAUGGGGCCCAGGCCCACACAACGUGGAGGAAACACCAUCUGCCCCAGCCCUGGGCCGGGCCUGGCAGCCAUAGCCACCCUCACGGGGGGGCCCCCUCUCCAGAAGGGAGCUCCUCUUCCAAGGACACCCAGGUCCUCGCUGCCACCGCGGCCCCGCCUGCCGGCUGUGGCCGCCUUCUUGCCAGCACUGCUUCAACAGAUGAACAAGAAUAAAAGCCUGUGUGGCCCAAGGAAGUCUUUAGGGGAAAGAAUUGAAGCUGAAGGAAAGCGGGGGAGGUUAUAAGAAAUAGGAGAGGAAAGAGAUUCAGGAAACAGACAGAAUAAACCAUCCGGGAAUCCAGAUGUAAAACAAGGAAGGCCAAGAGAAGGGAAAAGUUACGCUAAGAAGGCAGAGUAGGGUGGGGAGGGGAAUUGAGAACGAAAAAGAAGAAGAGGGCAGUUAUAAAUAUUCUGCAAAGAGAGAAGUAUGUGAAAGCAAACAACACCAGAAAAAAGAGAGACCCAGGAGAGAAAAAGAGGCAGCGAUGAACUUAACAACAACUGUGUUGACCCUCAACCAACCACACUCAUUAGUUCUGAGUCUGACCGCUCUUUGUGGAUUUCAGGCUCCUCUGAACACAGAGCAAGGACAGCCCUAGAAAAGCAAGCUUUCCUUCUUGCCCUUGGUUUUCCUACAAUUCUCCCAACUUACCCCAGCUGUUGGUAUUUUGCAGAGUGAGGACUGAUCUUCCUGGACAAGGCCAAGACCAUAUCAGUUCACCCCAGCCUGGUGGCUCCCAUCAUGGUGCCCCCCAUCAUGGUGCCCCCGGCAGGCUCACUGGAGAGCCUGAGCAGGAGGAGCCCGUGCAGGCAGGAGAAGCCAUAGGUGUGACAGAGCCUUGUUACUGGCUCUGCAUCUUCCAGGGAGCGGCUUACCCAGCCACCUCUCCUGCACCAGGGCUAACCCCACCCAUGGAUACGCCAUCCCGGAACAGCAGGGCAUCCUGGAAGACUGGCAUGCCCAACUCUACACAAAGCCAGAGGUGUCCCAGCAAGUGCUACUUUUGAAAACAAUUUAGAUGACUUAAAUUAAUUUCCAGGCAUUGCCAAGGAGACCUACAGAUAGCCACGGCUUUCCCAUUGCCAUAAUUGGCCAACAGGUACGUGAAGUUCACGUUGUGUCCAUCAACUCCGUGAGCGCUUAGGUCCUGGUUCCUUUCCCUGUGUCUGCUUGGCCUCUUCCAGCCUCUCCUGCCUCUCCUCCUGUGGGUUGGCCACUGCCACUCUUCUCUGUGUUUGCUUGGGCUAUGCCAAGCCCCUUACUUAGUCAGAUCCCCCUCUGCCCACUCUUCUGUUUCUUCAGGGCAGCAGGAGUUGGGAGAAAGCUGAAGCAAACCAAGGCAAAAUCGAGAAGCAAAGGCAGUGAAAAUGCAAGUGAGUCUGGGUUAGUGUCCAGUCGUGGUGUGCUCAGGCCUUCCCCCGUGGGCGGGGCGGGCUCCUCAUGGCCGGGGGUCCGAGCCUCCCUCGCCACCUGAAACUGCUCCUCCAGAGUUCAGCCAAGGGGACGCCACUCGGGCUGAACUCUGAUCGACUGGGACAAAGAAAACGGCGCCUGUGCCAGCCUUUCUCCCUCUAAGAAUUCUGAAGUCACUUGACCCUGAUUCUGUAAGUCACAUUUUCCUUCUAUCAAAAAUUGUGGCGAAAUAGGCAGAAGGGAUCCUGUCUAGGUUGUGGCCUCAGGUACUCAAUCCAGUUUCUUCCUAUCCCUCCUAACCUUCAAACCUGUCUCGGUCAUAUACUGUAUGACUCAAACUAUUAUUUAACCAUGAAAAAAAAAAAAAAAAGACAAACCAGGAAAUUAGAGGCUGAAUGACCUAAAAUUUAUUCCAUUCAACUGAGCUAAUCUCCUAAUAAGGGUGUGUAUAAUAAUAAGUCAUACUAUGUCUGUUCUGGAAGAUGUGAAGAACAUUGCAGGGAAAAGUGCAUGGUGACUGCAGAUCCCAACUUGUCAAGAUUUGUCCUCAAAAGGCUAAAGUGUCUGGGCCUCGGCCAAGUUGCCUAGCAGUUUGCUAGACGAGUCUCAACAUUUGGGAACCGAUAUGUUGCAACAGAGAGCGCCCAAUGUUCAGGCUGACCACAGCCAAUCCUGGCACCGCCACUUCCUCGGCAAGCAGGGGACCGACUUACCUGCCUGCUUAAGUCUUCCUCGCUGCGAAAUGGCAGUGACAGUAAUACCCACCUCCUGGGGCUGCUGGAAGGACAGAUGAGCAAAGCACUUGGCAUGUGCACGCGCCCCCCCCCCCUUCCCAAACGUAGCCCUAGUCAACUGUUGCUGUAUGUUAAACAGGGACUUGGCAAGACCAAGAAGAAGGUUGGAGGCCCCACCAAAUGGGGUUCCACGGAGUCCCUGGAACACAGUCAAGUAUCCCGAGCAAGAGAGAGAAGAGGGUCCCAGAGGAGGCCCAGGCAGCUGGCGGGUGGAGUGCGCGCAGAAAGCCAAGGACAGCCACUCGCAGCCGGGCUCCGCGUGGGCGGGAGGACGCAGGGGGCUGCGGGCAGCCCUCCCUCCGCAUUAGCUCAGCGGGCUGCAGCCCCACCCUUGCGUGUGCUCAUCCUGCGGAGAAGCUCCGUGAACUGACCGGGCCGCUGUACGCACGGCUCUGACCCAGCGAGAGCUAUAACGGGGCGAGGCUAUGACGGGCUUGCUGGCCUCAGAGACUCAACAAACGGGCGUUUCUGCCCAAAUCCACAGAUCUGUCCUGUUAGGAGCUAGGUUGUAGGGACGUGGCCAACUGCUGAGAAAUUCUCAUUUCAGAACUGGGCUUUUUCUGAAAAAGUAGAAAGGGGUAAGGUUUAAAAUGUUCCGGAAAUGUGAACACCAACUGAAUCUUGGUAAUAUUUAGGGGACAUUAUUAAACUUUAGGUGCGAUAAGGAUACUGUGGUUAAGUUUCAUGUGGUUUUUUUGAAGAUACAUACGGAAAUGCUGAUCAUGAUACGAUCUGACAUAUAGGAUUUACUUCACAAUUACCUGGGCGGCAGGGAAGGAGAUGGUGAUAGAAAUGGACAAGCGUGGGCAGGAUUUGGUGAUGUCGGUGAUGGGCAUAUGGGGCUUCACCAUACGACGCUGUCUCCUUCUGUAUAUGUUUGGAAUUUUCUGUACUAAAAUGUUUUAAGUUCAUAAAAGCUGUAAGAAUUUUUUAACUCAAA